rnacentral:tRNA from 1 species
UCGGGUUGUGGCUCAGUGGUAGAGCACCUGCCUAGCAUGUAUGAGGCACUGGGUUUGAUUCUCAGCACUGUA